rnacentral:rRNA from 1 species
UACGUAGGGGGCAAGCGUUGUCCGGAUUUAUUGGGCGUAAAGAGCGUGUAGGCGGCCAGGUAGGUCUGCUGUGAAAACUCGAGGCUCAACCUCGAGAUGUCGGCGGAAACCAUCUGGCUAGAGUCCGGAAGAGGAGAAUGGAAUUCCCGGUGUAGCGGUGAAAUGCGCAGAUAUCGGGAAGAACACCCGUGGCGAAGGCGGUCUCUGGGACGGUACUGACGCUGAGACGCGAAAGCGUGGGGAGCGAACAGG